GAUGAAGAACGUAGCGAAAUGCGAUAAGUAAUGCGAAUUGCAGAAUUCAGUGAGUCAUCGAAUCUUUGAACGCACAUUGCGCCCCUUGGUAUUCCGAGGGGCAUGCCUGUUCGAGCGUCAUUAUAACCCCUCAAGCUCAGCUUGGUGUUGGGGCCUGCUGCACUGGCAGCCCUUAAAAUCAGUGGCGGCGCCAUCUGGCUCUAAGCGUAGUAAUUCUUCUCGCUAUGGAGUCCUGGUGGAUGCUUGCCAACAACCCCCAAUUUUUCUAUGGUUGACCUCGGAUCAGGUAGGGAUACCCGCUGAACUUAAGCAUAUCAAUAAGCGGAGGA
rnacentral:misc_RNA from 1 species